CAGCUCCCCAGAGCAGGAGUUUCCUGUUCUUUGUUUCCUGCACUCACUUCAGAGAGAUUCACACUAACACACAUCUGCAUUAGAGCACUGAGAGCUUAAACACACUACUGACACCAUCUGAUCGUAUUCACAAUGAAGAGAAACCUCCUCAUCAUCCUCAUCAUCACAUCAGGUGUGUUUGGUGCUGAUCAAAUUGGACCAAAUGAUCAGGAGACUGAUGUUAUUAGAAAAGAGGGAGAACCUGUUACACUGAAAUGCUCUUAUGAAACAAGUAGUCAGUAUGUCUAUCUCUACUGGUACAGACAGUAUCCUAGCAGAGCUCUACAGUAUUUACUGCUUAGAGGUGCCCGAUCAUGGAGUGAUGAGGAGGACACUGCAGAUCAGAGAUUUAAGUCUUCUGUGUCCACAUUAUUCACUGAGCUCACUGUCAGUGAACUAAGACUGGCAGAUACAGCUCUCUACUACUGUGCUCUUAGAGUCGGAACCCAGUGAUACAAAGUCUCUGAGACGCUUUACAAAAA